rfam:Sphaerotilus natans subsp. natans DSM 6575 X805_50, whole genome shotgun sequence.
UCGCGAUCCGCCAACCGGUCUAGCCGUGUCGCGGAAGGUUGUCCAACCCAUCGGAGCUCCGGGUACCGGGGCGCAAGGUGAGCG